rnacentral:rRNA from 1 species
AGUGAACGCUGGCGGUAGGCCUAACACAUGCAAGUCGAACGGCAGCACAGUAAGAGCUUGCUCUUACGGGUGGCGAGUGUCGGACGGGUGAGGAAUACAUCGGAAUCUACUUUUUCGUGGGGGAUAACGUAGGGAAACUUACGCUAAUACCGCAUACGACCUACGGGUGAAAGCAGGGGAUCUUCGGACCUUGCGCGAUUGAAUGAGCCGAUGUCGGAUUAGCUAGUUGGCGGGGUAAAGGCACACCAAGGCGACGAUCCGUAGCUGGUCUGAGAGGAUGAUCAGAUACACUGGAACAGAGACACGGUCGAGACUCCUACGCGAGGCAGCAGUGCGGAAUCUUGGAGAAUGGGGGAGAGCCGGAUCCAGCAAUACCGCGUGGGUGAAGAAGGACUUAGGGUGGUAAAGCCCUUUUGUUGGGAGAGAAAAGCAGCAGGUUAAUACCCCGCUGUUAUGACGGUACCGAAAGAAUAAGCACCGGCUAACUUCGU